AGCUCUUCUCUGAUUACGUCGA
rnacentral:siRNA from 1 species